CAGAUACGGUAGCUGGCAAUUCGAUUAUUCCAACUGCUGGAAGGGAACCAAUCAUCUUUGGAUGCUAACUUGUUGGCAAGUAGGUCAGAACAAGUGGGAAUUGGCCGUAAAAUCCAUAUAUACUCUUAAGCACUUGGCCGGCACAGCCCUCUGGGUAAUAAUCAUGGAUAUGUGUGACACUCGAAAAGGGAAUGUAGGUCCUCACUGUGCUAUUUUUGAUCCGAUAUAGCAAAUAAAAUAUUUACCAGAAGAAAAAGGUGGAGAUAGAUUCCCCAUCAGAUUCCCCAUCAGUCAUUUACCAAAAAACCAAAAGUUCAUAUGAAUGCAAUCCAGUAUCCAAAAAAUAUUUUGUAAAAUGAAACAACGCAGGUAUUUUCCAUUUGAAAAUGAAAAAUCAUUUAGGAGGAUGUCUUUUUCUCAAACCUGAAAUCAAAAUCCAAUGAAGUACUAUCUGCCAGAUUCGACAACUAUUCGAAUGCUGCAAAUUUUGAAUUAAAUCAUACGUCAGAAUAAAUCUCACAUUUAUAUCUGAUCCGUACGAGUACCACCACCUCCGGGCCGGCGCCCUUUGUUUUUGCUGCAAUUGCUGCAUGUUGACUUUGAAAAUAUAUCGUAUUUACAUUUGAUUUAACAGUCAAACAAAUUUCUAGAAUUGCGCAAAUAUUUACAUACACAAUCUGAAAAUCUGCACAGCACAGCAAACACGUGUGCCCUGUUGUGGAUUAAAAAUAUAUACAUACAUAUGUGUUGUACUCUUGCCAUGCUUGCUGUGCACAUAUGAAAUUUAAAUUUAAAACACAGCAGCCCGCGCACGCCCCACAUGGCGUAUGAUUGAUUUGGCUCGUCUCCCUCUAAGGGAGGACUUCCAGCUUAAAACUCCAAGGAGCAAAUACGGACGUGGAGGCAGCAAUAAAAAGACGCUGCACUUUUCGAGGCACAGCAGGCGAGAUAACUUGCCGCAUAAUGCGUCACAAAGCCGACGCAGGAGUCCAAAGCUGUUAUCGCUCUGUCCACCUACACAAGCGAAUGCUAGCGGAGUGUUAACAGGUCAAAGGAGACUAAAACGGAGUGGUAAUGGGAAGUGGAAUUGAAAAGGACGGCAUCCAAUGUGCGUAGAGGCCGACGAGACCAACGAUAACCCCUUGACCCAUGGAUCUACCCACACUUUCGAAUGUCCCCCGUAUUUUUCCGAAUUUUCCCCCGUACUUUUCGGACUUGAAAAAGGCGGAACUUUUACACAUAUUGAUGAGUGUGCUCAAAAGCUGACAUUGCAUCGAAAUACUACGUGAAUGCAUUGGGGAUUUAAUCGUGAAAAUGCAGAUCAAAUGGCUUGCCACAUUACCAUUCCCGAGCGACAGCCAAUUCACUUAUGCAUUCCCAGUUGGGAAUAUCUUGGCUCUUAUUUGCAAUUGGAAUAUUGAGCGGCUGGGAAAUGUCAGCGGAGCGGAUUCAUUUAUUAAUCCUGGACUGAGCUGAACUGAGACGCAUAUGCAAUCGAUACAGCUGCCCGGGAAUCGACCGAAUCGUAGGCAGAUUAUACAGCCCCGACCCUGCAACAAACAUCAAGCUGUGCGGCUUAUCGUGAGUGAGAUGUUUGUUCGAAAUGUCUUUGGGGACUCCCACCCAUGUGAAUUGUCAGAUAGACUCAUUCCAGAGCAAUCUAUGCAACGGAGGCAUCUCAUUUGCAUACAUACCCACAGUGGGGGUUACGGUUUAAAGAGAAGCCUGCAUUCAAGAUGGCCCAAAAUUCAAAUUGAGUGAGAAUAAUUCCAUAAAAUCUUGGCAACUAAGCAUAGA